GCUGGCGGCGUGCCUAAUACAUGCAAGUUGAGCGCUGAAGGUUGGUACUUGUACCGACUGGAUGAGCAGCGAACGGGUGAGUAACGCGUGGGGAAUCUGCCUUUGAGCGGGGGACAACAUUUGGAAACGAAUGCUAGUACCGCAUAAAAACUUUAAACACAAGUUUUAAGUUUGAAAGAUGCAAUUGCAUCACUCAAAGAUGAUCCCGCGUUGUAUUAGCUAGUUGGUGAGGUAAAGGCUCACCAAGGCGAUGAUACAUAGCCGACCUGAGAGGGUGAUCGGCCACAUUGGGACUGAGACACGGCCCAAACUCCUACGGGAGGCAGCAGUAGGGAAUCUUCGGCAAUGGACGAAAGUCUGACCGAGCAACGCCGCGUGAGUGAAGAAGGUUUUCGGAUCGUAAAACUCUGUUGGUAGAGAAGAACGUUGGUGAGAGUGGAAAGCUCAUCAAGUGACGGUAACUACCCAGAAAGGGACGGCUAACUACGUGCCAGCAGCCGCGGUAAUACGUAGGUCCCGAGCGUUGUCCGGAUUUAUUGGGCGUAAAGCGAGCGCAGGUGGUUUAUUAAGUCUGGUGUAAAAGGCAGUGGCUCAACCAGUGUAUGCAUUGGAAACUGGUAGACUUGAGUGCAGGAGAGGAGAGUGGAAUUCCAUGUGUAGCGGUGAAAUGCGUAGAUAUAUGGAGGAACACCGGUGGCGAAAGCGGCUCUCUGGCCUGUAACUGACACUGAGGCUCGAAAGCGUGGGGAGCAAACAGGAUUAGAUACCCUGGUAGUCCACGCCGUAAACGAUGGGUGCUAGAUGUAGGGAGCUAUAAGUUCUCUGUAUCGCAGCUAACGCAAUAAGCACUCCGCCUGGGGAGUACGACCGCAAGGUUGAAACUCAAAG
rnacentral:rRNA from 1 species